UGAGCCUAAUAGUAACUUUCAAUGUUUGUUUUUUUUGGAUGUCAUGAUGAAAAAAUGUAGUUGAAUCUUUUCCCCUUUUUCACAAAAGCGGUUGCCACAUCAGUAUCUGAGGUUUAACCAUCUUUUGGAUUGCAUUGUGCUUGUGUUAAAAGUGUUUACAGAAGGGUAUAGCCUUUAUUUUGCAGACGCUGAACACAUCGCAGACUUUUCUUUCCGUGCAGCAUAGUAUACCACGGUGCUGUUACCCCAGUUGUAACCGCUAAUAACAACAGGCUACAACAGGCUUCCAAGGUGUAGGAAGAAAGACUGAAACAAUCGAGUUCAGGACUAGAUUGUCUGUGGAGGUCUCUAAGCAAGACAAACGCGAGCUGAUGAUCCCGGAGGAGGCCUUCUCCGUUGGCGAUAGGAGAUGCGGAUGAAACAAGCGAUAAGACAGAAGAACUUUCAGGCCCCGGACUGAUUGCUGCUAUUCACCACUGGCAAUGCUCGUCAUAAAGUUACAUUUUACGCGUUAAGUCUCCCUGUUUUACUUUUUUGGUUGAAGCACUACGUCUCAGCACAAGUCCACAGACCAAUGGCGUUUCUAAUAAAGAAGAAGAAAUUUAAGUUUCAGACGCAUUUCACGCUCGAAGAACUGACAGCCGUGCCUUUUGUGAACGGAGUUCUAUUCUGCAAAAUCAGACUGCUGGAUGGUGGAGACUUUGCCAAAUCGUCCUCAAGGGAGGAGGUGCAGG